rnacentral:rRNA from 1 species
CAGUCGCCGCGGGAAUACGAAGGGGGCUAGCGUUGUUCGGAAUUACUGGGCGUAAAGGGCGCGUAGGCGGCCAUUCAAGUUAGAUGUGAAAGCCCUGGGCUCAACCUAGGAAUUGCAUUUGAUACUGUUUGGCUUGAGUUCGGGAGAGGUGAGUGGAAUUCCCAGUGUAGAGGUGAAAUUCGUAGAUAUUGGGAAGAACACCAGUGGCGAAGGCGGCUCACUGGACCGACACUGACGCUGAGGCGCGAAAGCGUGGGGAGCAAACAGGAUUAGAGACCCGUGUAGUCCCUGUCUCUUAUAA